rnacentral:snRNA from 1 species
GGAUGUGAGGGAGAUCUGGCUGCAACAUCUGUCACCCCAUUGAUCGGCAGGAUUGAUUUGGCUGAUCUGGCUGGCCAGACAGGUAUCAUCUUCCUCCCUCACUGCUACAUGUGCGUCCUUCCCGAAGCUGUGUGCUCAGUCAAAGAGGACCACCAUCCCCCCCGCUAGAGGAGGAGGACUGGUUUUGGGUCAAGGGUAUAUGAGUAACUGUACUCCCCUGCUAGAACCUCCAAACAAGCUCUCAAGAUGCCCAAGUCUCACUUGGAAGUGCCUGGGUUAGAUACCAACUCAGGUCUGUUAACCCAAACCAGAGGAGGCAGUGGUGAUGGUUCAAGUGCUUG